AUGUCGAAGGCAUCGACAUGUAAUUUUCGAUACCUGCUCGUCCCACCCCCUUGAAAUCGAUCCGUGUAACCAGCGCAUCAUAAUGUCCUAUGUUUUCCGGAUCGAAAACCUGCCUCCAAAGCGAUUCGUUCAUACGUAACUCCUUUAGAAGUUGUUCCCGGAUCAUCAAACAUGAAUUUUGUUUCACUCCUAACCCAACAGCCACCGAUCGAAACCCACAAUGACCAUCUGGUUUCACGUCCUUUAUUCUAACGAUGUAUGGAUGGAUCACUUUGGGAAUCUGAGAUGCGUAGUUGCGGAUCGCUAUAUCCGUCUUAGGACCGAGCUUGAUAUUCGGGAAAUCAGGGUGUAGGUUGAGCGGUUUGGUAUUCUUUUCUCUUCUAGAAUCUUCGGCUGAUAUGUACGAGCUGUGACGGGGAAGAUCGUCUGAGGCCUCGACCCAAGUUUCUUCUGACGGAAUGUAAGAGCUUUUUCUAGCGGUUUCAACCUUUCUUUCUUCCUGCGUUUUCAAUGUUGGGCGACCACGAGUUUUCUUCAGAACAGCAGGAGGUUUUUUGUUAUUGUUCCCUGGAUUGAGGAUUUGCUGAAACUUUUCAAAGAAGCUCCUUUUCACUUGAGGGGGUGUUGGAUCGAUCUGUUUUUUCAAUUUUUCAAAUUCCGCGUCUACAUCGAUAUCAUCUAUGUUAUUCCUUGCAGGCUUGAAGUCAAGCUUCUUCCAAAACACGUCUAUGUGUGUGAUCCGGAUUUGCUGACCUAUGGAUGAAAACAAAUUAGGUGGCAAAAUCAUGACGAGAAAGGUCAAAAAUAUUAAUUACCUUUAUUUUCCAACUUUUCCAACCGACAGGCACAUGGCAAACCACAGCUGGUAAAAAGUUGGCAACCACAGCUUGCACCGUAGGCUCUCAACCCGUCUUCCUUACGUUUUAGUUCCAUACUCAAAAGCUCAAUCGCAUAUAUUGAAACCUUUCUGAGAAUAUAUGCAAGCAUGGGCUGAUUCUUGUGGUGCGUCAUCACUUUUCGGAGGCUUGUUUCAAAGCUACUUCUAAUCUCGUGUGUUGCGAUGACUUGGAAAGUGACUUUUUAAUGUUGCAUGCAUGCCCUCAACCCUGUUGGUCGUAGUUUGGUGAAAGUUGAUAGUUUG
rnacentral:lncRNA from 1 species